rnacentral:rRNA from 1 species
GUCCACGCGGUAAACGAUGGGCACUAGGUGUGGGGGGUAUCCACUCCUCCUGUGCCGAAGCUAACGCAUUAAGUGCCCCGCCUGGGGAGUACGGCCGCAAGGUUAAAACUCAAAGGAAUUGACGGGGGCCCGCACAAGCGGUGGAGCAUGUGGUUUAAUUCGACGCAACGCGAAGAACCUUACCUGGGCUUGACAUCCCCGGAACCCCCUGGAAACAGGGGGGUGCCCCCGUAAGGGGGAGCCGGGAGACAGGUGCUGCAUGGCUGUCGU